AUGAGCAGGGAACAGAAUGCACAAGGAAGGGGAUCCGUCUCCAACCUCCUUCCUUGCUCCACACCCUUGUCUCUCCCCCUUGUGACUUCAGAGCUCUCAGCACCAAGAUCCUGUCCAGCGCAGAAAGGCAGGACACAGAGAGUGGGAAGAAGCAGCCUGGUGUGCGUGCCUUCUCCACCUCCCGGGACAGAGCAGGAGCCACUGAGACCCUUACAGGAGAAGGAUGAGUCUCUUCUGUCUUCUCACCUGUCCACGCGGGCCAGAGGGCUUGGGAGACUACAAGACAACAGGGGAAAAAGAGCGCCUGCCCGGCAGGCGACACAGAACACUCCCUGGGCAAGGACAGGAGGCACUCAUCAGCUUCAGAGAGAGGGCCUUUCCUUAGCCUGUGAGGCGGAGAGCAUUCAAGCACAGAUCCCUAAGAGAUCGCCUUGAACUUGAGAUGGGGGGGCAGCAAGCAGCCUUUUACUUUGACCCUUCCUAGACUCGAAGCCCAUGAAACCUGGAACCCCAGGGAAACGGGGCAGCCAGUGCAGCCGUCUGCCCACAGCUGAAGCCACCUCUUACAGUGAACUUGGUGGCAUUCAGCCAGCCUGGGCCCCUCCAGUGACCAGGACCCUGGUCCCUCAAGGCAGGCUGUCCAGCAGCUGCAGGUCACCCCAAUGGGUCAGUCAUCACGGCGCUCCCGGGGGGCACCAAGAGGAGUGAGUCGUGGGGAACGGACUCCUACUCUGAGGAGUCAGCCAUCCAGAGGUGAGCACGCAAUGAUCAAAAUGCAAGAGGACACAGUCAGAGCUCUAAGAGCAGCAGGAAAAAGGCUCUCAGAGUGGAGAGGAGGGAGAAAUUCCACUUAACAGAAAUAGACGGGUAAAGGUCAUAUGGGAGAGAUAACACCGGGAUGAAGAGCUGGUAAGAGUGACAUUUUGAGGAACUGGAAAGUGAGGAAAUGGUUUCUAAGAGGAGGGCCCAGCAUGAGCAAGGUGUGGUGGUGGGAAGGCCUGGUAACCGCUUGGUAUCUGUGGCGAGAUCAACAGGGCUAGGUGUGUCAAGUGGGAGAGGAGGGAACAGGGAUUGAGAAAUGGGUGAACACCAUGUUUCGAAGAUACUGAGUGUCAGAUGGAAGAGGAGAAUCAAGUGAUAACACAACCAUGGAAACACAUGACUGUGGAAAGCUUCUGAACCUGGAAGAGAUGUGACUGGUUUAGGAGGAGCGAUCUGGUUGCAGGUGCAGGAGGAACUGGAAGGAGGGGCGUCCUUGCCCCCAUCUCUGUGCAGUCCAAAGGCCCAGCUCUGCAGAUGACAACCCCAGUCCCAGGAUGCCCAGCUCUGCUGGGUCCUCCAGGUGCUGUCUGGACAAACCUCUGACCCUCCCCCCAGUAGUCUUGGUUCAUUUCUCUUCUCACCUGGAGUCUUUCUGUGCACAGUCAUUCUGUAC
rnacentral:lncRNA from 1 species